GACCCCCUAGCUCAGUGGUAGAGUAUGAGAUUCCAGUGAUCGUUGACCUUCCAGUCAAAGGUUCGUUGCUUCCUCAGGGUCAUCCGUUCAAUCCGGGUGGGGGUCA